CUUGUCACUGAAGGAAGCGCUGCAAGACGAAGCGAGGAUUGACUACUAUCAUCGCCAUCUUUUAUUUAUUUAAAUUGUUGGCAAGGAUGGUGUGGAUGUGAGGGGCUACUUUGCUUGGUCAUUGUUGGACAACUUCGAAUGGGCAGAAGGUUUCACUGUUAGAUUUGACCCUAUUUACGUGGAUUAUAAAGAUGGUCUGAAGAGAUACCCAAAACAUUCUGCUCUAUGGUUUCAGCAGUUUCUCAGAGGGCAUGAGGGUACAAAUAAUUCCUUCUCCUCUGAAUGAUAAGUGGGACAUGCAUGGUACUAAUAUAGGUCAAAAUGGGCAUGACAGACGAGUUUGAAGCUUCUUUACAAGUACUAUGGGGAUUUGAUACUGACAUUUCUUUUGAAGUGAAUGAAAUCAAGAGAUCUGUAACUUCCACAAGCAGGAGAACAACCAUCUGAUUUUCUGAUCUCAAGCAAAGAAGAUAUUAGUUUCCAUUCCAUGAUAUAUGUUCAUCGAGUUGAAGGAGGCAAAGGUUCUGAAGAAACAGCUACAAAAGAUUUUUCUUGCUGCCCCCCCUUCACAAAAUUACAAUAGUGCUGUUUUCAUUGCAUCAUAUUAUUGUGAUUUAAUUAAAUCGAAUUCAUGGAGCUGCAGAAUGAAGAUUUUGGAUUUUGGGGGCAUUUGACAAAAAAAAAAAAGAAAGAAAGAAAGAAAAAGAG